rnacentral:rRNA from 1 species
ACGAACGCUGGCGGCGUGCCUAAUACAUGCAAGUUGAGCGCUGAAGGUUGGUACUUGUACCAACUGGAUGAGCAGCGAACGGGUGAGUAACGCGUGGGGAAUCUGCCUUUGAGCGGGGGACAACAUUUGGAAACGAAUGCUAAUACCGCAUAAAAACUUUAAACACAAGUUUUGAGUUUGAAAGAUGCAAUUGCAUCACUCAAAGAUGAUCCCGCGUUGUAUUAGCUAGUUGGUGAGGUAAAGGCUCACCAAGGCGAUGAUACAUAGCCGACCUGAGAGGGUGAUCGGCCACAUUGGGACUGAGACACGGCCCAAACUCCUACGGGAGGCAGCAGUAGGGAAUCUUCGGCAAUGGACGAAAGUCUGACCGAGCAACGCCGCGUGAGUGAAGAAGGUUUUCGGAUCGUAAAACUCUGUUGGUAGAGAAGAACGUUGGUGAGAGUGGAAAGCUCAUCAAGUGACGGUAACUACCCAGAAAGGGACGGCUAACUACGUG